rnacentral:misc_RNA from 1 species
UACGAAGGGUGCAAGCGUUGUUCGGAAUUAUUGGGCGUAAAGGGUUCGUAGGCGGGAAGAUAAGUCGAGUGUGAAAUCCCAAAGCUCAACUUUGGACGUGCAUUCGAAACUAUUUUUCUUGAGUGUUGGAGAGGGAAGUGGAAUUGCUGGUGUAGGAGUGACAUCCGUAGAGAUCAGCAGGAACACCGGAGGCGAAAGCGACUUCCUGGCCAAACACUGACGCUGAGGAACGAAAGCGUGGGGAGCAAACAGG